CACACUCUUCAGCUCUGAGCUGUGGAUGGGGUGGAGAUAAAGAUGUGAAUAUAUACACCAUGGCAUCUGAAUGAAGGAAGAGUUGCCUCCAGACUGAAGUUGAAGUUGUUUAGGUGCAGUUACUCUGUCCAAAGAGGAACAUACACUCUCCAAAAAAUUAAAGAACAAGAACUGCAAACAUGGGUCCACGUGUAGAAGUGAAUGAUGCAGUACUGCAGGUACGUUCUAUUGAUCUCAUCAGGACCAGGAAAGGACAGAAUCGACAGGAGCAUCACACAGACGGUUUCUUUAACGAUCAUCUCAUCGUCCGUAGAGGACAAUGUUUCCAGAUGUUUAUUGAGCUGUCCAGGCCUUUUGUU